rnacentral:misc_RNA from 1 species
UCUUUUUCAGUUAUUUCCACAGGCACUCCAUCAAUGAUCUUGGUGUAUUUUUUAAUAAUCGGCUCUCCAUGGAUCACUUCAGUUAUUGUUUCACCUUCUUUAAUCAGUCUGAAUUCAGGUUCACCUUCAAUUUUGACUUUUGUUAGUGUGGGUCUAUAGACAGUCACGGGGAUUUCUUUGAAGGUGCUACCACGAACAAACUUAAUUUGGA